rnacentral:lncRNA from 10 species
GGCAAUGCCUCCCAGGCUUGGGAGCUGGGAAAAGGCCCCAGGAGCUAGGGCAUCCUGAUUGUUCUUUCAAAGAAAUCCCUCUUGUUCUUAGUCAACAUGCUGGAUACCAGCUAAAAAAUGCAAAAUGAUCUUCAGGCAGGGAUGGCACAGGACCCUUGCUGAGCUGUGAAGCCUGGCUGUGAGGAUUCCUGCAUGGAAACAUCAACAUGUUGCCAGAUUGGUAUACGACUCAACACCACACUGACAUGCUGCUCCCAAACAGUGCCUUUGAAUCAAGACCCAGUCAUCGUAUUCGAAGAAAAAGGAAAUAUCCCUGACCAUGUUGGGACUUAACACUGCUUCACAGAGUCCAUGGAGUUCCUGGUGACUAAUGCCAUCCACAAGAUCUGAAGGUGUUGUGUAACCUAGACCUGGCCCUUCUCUCAGUGCAUCCCCCUCUCCAGAGUGACCAACUCAGAGAGGUCAUGUGCUUAAGGAGAAGUUGACUGUCUGCAACCUGGAAGCAAGCCCUCACCAGAAGCUGACCAUGCUUGCACCCUGGUCUCAAACUUCCAGCCUCCAAAACUGUGAGAAUAAAUAUCUGUUGUUUGAAAGCCACCCAGAGUACCAUAGUACUCUGUUACAGCAGCUCAAACUGACUGAGACCCUCUUUAACAAUGACAAUAAAACUAAGAAUGGCUAAAAUGUA